rnacentral:rRNA from 1 species
GUCGAGAAUCUUUCACAAUGGGGGCAACCCUGAUGGAGCGACGCCGCGUGGAGGAUAAGGUCUUCGGAUUGUAAACUCCUGUCAUGCGUGAACAAGGUUGCUUGGUUAAUACCUGGGCAAAUUGAUGGUAACGCAAGAGGAAGAGACGGCUAACUCUGUGCCAGCAGCCGCGGUAAUACAGAGGUCUCAAGCGUUGUUCGGAAUCACUGGGCGUAAAGGGUGCGUAGGUGGCGUGGUAAGUCAGAUGUGAAAGCCCGGGGCUCCACCUCGGAACUGCAUCCGAUACUGCCAUGCUAGAGUACUGGAGAGGUGACUAGAAUUCUCGGUGUAGCAGUGAAAUGCGUAGAUAUCGAGAGGAAUACCAAAGGCGUAGGCAGGUCACUGGACAGUUACUGACACUGAGGCACGAAGGCCAGGGGAGCGAACGGGAUUAGAAACCCCAGUAGUCC